AUGAACGCUGGCGGCGUGCCUAAUACAUGCAAGUCGAGCGAACAGACGAGGAGCUUGCUCCUCUGACGUUAGCGGCGGACGGGUGAGUAACACGUGGAUAACCUACCUAUAAGACUGGGAUAACUUCGGGAAACCGGAGCUAAUACCGGAUAAUAUAUUGAACCGCAUGGUUCAAUAGUGAAAGACGGUUUUGCUGUCACUUAUAGAUGGAUCCGCGCCGCAUUAGCUAGUUGGUAAGGUAACGGCUUACCAAGGCAACGAUGCGUAGCCGACCUGAGAGGGUGAUCGGCCACACUGGAACUGAGACACGGUCCAGACUCCUACGGGAGGCAGCAGUAGGGAAUCUUCCGCAAUGGGCGAAAGCUUGACGGAGCAACGCCGCGUGAGUGAUGAAGGUCUUCGGAUCGUAAAACUCUGUUAUUAGGAAAGAACAAAUGUGUAAGUAACUAUGCACGUCUUGACGGUACCUAAUCAGAAAGCCACGGCUAACUACGUG
rnacentral:rRNA from 1 species